CAAUAUAUUAUCUAAAUCCAAGUUUCUUUGAGGACUUUUUGGAUAUAUGUCAACAUUCAAUAGAGAUAAAAUAGUGUAUGUUUUAGGCUACUGCACGGCUGAUUAUUGCUGCCUGAUUAGUAUUUGAUCAAAUCCCAUCCUUUUAUUUUCCUGAGACGAUUCAGCUCCUGCACAGCAGAGGAGAGCCGCCUCAUUCCGUCUGACAAGUGUUGUGCUGCGCAGCGCUCCAUCACGUCCGUGUAAACAUCCAUCUGCUCGCUGUAUGGGCUCUGCAAGCAGAACAGUUUUAAUUUAUCAUAAACUUCAUAUAACUCAUUAGCUUUCAUCUUUACGCCGCGUGUAUAGAAAUGAAUUUGGAGUGUACUCACAGGGGUUUUUCUGAGGAGUUUGCUGUACAAAUAUUUAUGGACUUUUCCCUUUGUAGUGCAGGCUGUGGUGGAACAGCUCUGCCAUCAGCGGCUUGGGCUGCGGGAGAGGCUUUGCCAAAAGCCCUCGUUUAUUUACCGCGUGGCACUUUGUAUUGAAAUUUGUUUUGCUGCUAUGUGUAAAAAUCCACGGCUCUCCUGGGAGGAGAUGAGAGUUCUCCUGUACUCCAGUAAAAGGGGGAAAAAGCCUCCCAGAAAAUUCAGUGUGUCUGUGUGUGUGUGAGCACAACUUUAUAGCCAUGCACAUUCCGGCUGCUUUCUGCUGCGCUCAUUCAGAAAACACAUAUAUGGAGAUUUUAUUGUGUUUUUUUGUUUUAAGGACAAUAAUUUGUCUCCGAAUUCCCCUUGUUUAUGUUUCUGUCUAUAUCUCUUUCCUCUUCCGUGUUUUAUUUAGUAAGGCUUCAUCUGUGAGAUUUCCCCGCAAAACAAUUGAUACAUUCUCGGCACGCUGUGGCGAGGGAAAAAAAGCCCUUAGAUUAAUGGUCAGUGUCUCAUACACACAAAUUUGUGUUACGAUACUACAGAGAAGCUGCGAAUUACUGACAAGAUCUAGAAUAAUUCCUAAUGCUGUCGAAGGCUUCAUUUUCUCCUCCGCAUGAUGGAUGAGGCAUAAGAAGUGCUUUCUGAGAUCGUUAAUGUGCAUCAUUCUGUUAAGUGUUAUUAAAGUCCGUCUGUCUUAGGGAGCAGAAACAAUAUCUUAUCCCUUAUUUUCCUCUCUCCCCUCUCAACUCCAGCUGCAGAUCCUCCUGGUACUGACGUGGCCUUUUGUUGGUGCUCUCCUUUUAACGGCCAGUUUACACCGUGGCGUUUAGGUUGGUUUGAGGAUGGUAUUUUCCCUUUUAAUCAAAAUACUGGCUCAUCACAUGGGAAAGAACACGUCCUUUCAAGAUUAGGCUAUCAGUAACCUGCAGAUAAUAGGAAGGCCACCGAGGAUCUCUAGCGAGCGUUGUGAUUCAGGUUAGGGAAUAUGGGUGCCCUUUGAUGUGGAGCUGUGCCUGUGCUGGGGCCGCGUGGCCGUGCGGUGCUGCCCGUGGCGGCUGGGAGUGAGCAGUGCCACCUGGGAGCGGUGCCGGCCCAGGUGCAGCCCAUUAGCCAAAGCCAGCUCAGCCAAACAGAAGAAUUCACUUUAAAGGUUUCUAACCUUUCUUAAGAGCCAAUUUUUCCCUAAGCCCUGUGAUAAUAAAAUAGGCUAUAAUUUAUAGAGCGCUUUCCGUG
rnacentral:lncRNA from 1 species